rnacentral:tRNA from 1 species
GCGGGAGUGGCUGAGCUGGACCAAAAGCGCGGGACUUAAGAUCCCGUCUCGUAGGAGUGCGUCGGUUCAAAUCCGACCUCCCGCA